GGAGGGUUGUCAGAGCGGUCGAUCGUGCGGCACUCGAAAUGCCGUGUCCCUGACGGGACCCCGGGUUCGAAUCCCGGGCCCUCCGCCA
rnacentral:tRNA from 1 species